rnacentral:lncRNA from 1 species
AAGCAUGUGAGGUCCUCGAAGGAGCGGGAGAAGCAGAGGAUGUCCUCGCGCACCUCCUCCAGCAGCGCAGCGUCUGGCAGGAGGGUGGGCAUGAAGGCACCCCCAGGCACAGCACUGUCCCCAACAUGUCCCCAUCCCACCUGAGCCCCUGCCAGCGUGGCACCGUGGGGAGGGACGCGCACAUCGCCGUGACCUGGGCUGGCAGCCCCGCUCCCCCCUCCCCAGCACGCAGGGUCCUUCGGGACAAACAACCAUCCCGAAAUAGCCCUGCGGUCGCAGGGGGCUCGGCCCGGCCCUGGAGAUCAGCGGGAAGCACCCCUGCCCUGCUCACGCCGGAAGGCGCGCGGAAGUGCGAUAAGGAGGAGCAGCGCCCCAGGGGCCUGGGGGCUGGCGUGGGGGCACACGGCUCUGAGCACAGGGGGGGGGUGUCAGCCCCAGCCCCGGGUCUGUGGGGGGCUCUGUGUCUCUGCACCGCUUCCUCCCUUUUGUUGCAGGGGUAAACUGGAGCGUCGCACCCCUGCGAUGCCUGCUGAGCCCUCUCCAGGAGAAGGGAGUCACCAUAAGAGUACCACGGUCCCCCGAUGUCUUUGCCAGAAAGGGUUAGAAGACCUACGGAGGGGCUCAAAGGCCACGUGGAUGGACCUGAGGCUAACAGAGCUGUGCAGCGGGCUGCAAAGCACCAGGGAGCCCGGUGGGGCCAGCUCAGGGCUGGGUGGGAGCAUCCCACCGGGGAGGUAAGGUCACGGCGCUCAGGGCUGCGUGCUGCGAGGCUGGCGCAGGAGCAUCGCGGUGAGCCAGCAGUGCUGCUGCUGUGCUGUGGUGCAGAGCCGUGCCCUGGGACUUUGCUCAGACCUUGUCAUCGGGAGACCCUGUGCAGCAACAUGAUGCCACACAGCUGGCAGCUGCCACCCCAAAACCGUUNNNNNNNNNNNNNNNNNNNNNNNNNNNNNNNNNNNNNNNNNNNNNUGCCCCCUCCCCAAUCCCACACCUUCCUGCCUGCUGCGGGGGGUCUCGCUGCACCCUGCCAGGCCAGCAUGCCAGCUCCCCUCUGGCCCUCCUGGGGGGUUAAAAAGGCCCCCAGGUCCUACCUUGGCAUGUCACCAGCUCGGGGGCCAUCGCGGGGCUGCGGAGGCUCAGCAGGACCACGGCGAGCAGCGAGGGCAGCCAGCCCCGGGGCAGGCAGGCCGCCAUCCCGCGUGCCGUGCUCGGUGCUUCCCGGGGCCCCGGCUGCUGCCGCGGCUCCUCGGGGCGAUACCUUUAUCUGGGAAGUGUCGGCUGUGCUGCUCAGGAAGCCUGGCUGGAGGCUCCCCCCGCCCCAUCGCCAGCACUUCCCCGUGCCCAAAACCACCGUGCCGCGGCCCCUCCGCCGCCAGCCGCAGUGCCAAGAGAGACUGCUCCCAUCAGAUAGGCGGCACGUCCUGCCCUUGUGGCUACCGGCACGCCGGGAGGCCGGGGUGGGAAGAAAAACAACCCCUGAGAAAGCAGGGAGGCCCCUGCUCGGGGCUGGGCAGGCUGCUGGGUGCUCCGUGACACCCGUGUCCUUGCUGGCACGUCGGAGCGUGGGGCACAGGGCAGCGGCUCCGGCUCCAUCCCACCCCACGCUGCCCCUUGCAGCUCUGCACGGACCCGCUCUGCCUUGCAGCACCAUCCAGGGCUGGGCAGCUGCUGGCACACGUCCACACCAUGCCACGGGGGGGUCGGCAUCUCCUUAUCCCGCAGGGGAUGGGGGCAGCACUGCCAGCCCGGGGGCACGGAGGGAAGGGGGGGAACAGCCAGCACCAGUUUGUCACAGUCAAGUUUUGUCAAACCAAUCCCACUUCCUUCUCUAUCCGGCGACUGGGCUUUGCAGUCAGAGAGGCAAAAACACUCAAAACUCAAAAAAAAACCCUGAAACUUGGUUUCGGCACGGCUGGUGAUGCUGCCCCAUGUGCCAUUCCCAGCAGCAGCCCCCUCGGUGCAAUGAGGGGCACACUGCACCAGGCUGCCUGCAGGGGCUGGUCCUGGUCGCCUUUUCACUGGGCACCUCAGUGAUGGAGCAGAGAUCAGAGAAUCACAGAAUCACCUAGGUUGGAAGAGACCUCCAAGAUCACCAAGUCCAACCUCUGACCUAACACUAACAAGUCCUCCGCUAAGCCAUAUCACUGAGCUCUACAUCUAAACGUCUUUUAAAGACCUCCAGGGAUGGUGACUCAACACCAAAAACAACAACCCUUUCCGUAAAGAAGUUCCUCCUAAUGUCCAACCUAAAAGAUGCUCACUGAUGGCUGCAGUUGACACCAAAUAGCACUGGAGGCCAGAAUGGGAAAUCAAAAUGGCAUUGAUACGCAG